AUGCCCAUAAUUGCACCCGUCGCAAAUAAUGGUGGCCCUCGUCGCUCUCUAACCUGGUUCGUCGGUGGAGGUGCCCCCAUCAGCGCAGCACCCUGGAGUAGUGGGGUGGAGGAAGAACCCACGCCCAUCGUGCGGCCUCGCCGUGCUGUCGCGGGCCACCAUUAUUUGCGACGCCUGCGAACGUGGGUUCCCCGAAUCCUGCAUCCACGUCUUUGGUCCGCUUAUGCGCCAGCCUCCACCACCACCGCUGCCCAGCCGCCCUGGUGUGCGGGUGCGGCGGCCUACGGUAGCGGUGACCCAGGACUGGAUGGGCAAGAGGGGUCAAAUUCUGGUCAAAAUUGUGAUGCAGGUAGUAUGUGUGAUGAAAUUGUGUCAAAAUCAAAGGAGCCAGCCCCUGAUACUGAUACUACUUCCUGUGAGGAAGCAUCAUCUUCAACAACAGUCAAACCAACAAGAUUGCUGGCUGUUAACGGUGGCUUGGUUCCGGAGUCAUCACUGAGGCCGGUUACAGGAAGAAACUCUCAUAUCCUGAAGCAACAAAAGAUAAAUUUGCUUGAUAUAGAAGCAGCGUUGCCUGAGGAAGCUUUCAGAGCCUCAAAGUCUCAACAAAUGAGAAGGCGUUCAUGGCGUUCUUUUGUGAAGCGUGCAGAAUCAAUCUCCAAGAUGGUACUGGUCCUCCUUCACAGUAGCUAUCAAGACCUCAACUCUAUCCUCGCUCGCUCUCAGGAUAUACACUCUCGACGACUGUAUCAUGUACACCAAGGAGCCUAA
rnacentral:rRNA from 1 species